rnacentral:rRNA from 1 species
GACGAACGCUGGCGGCGUGCUUAACACAUGCAAGUCGAACGGAAAGGCCCUGCUUUUGUGGGGUGCUCGAGUGGCGAACGGGUGAGUAACACGUGAGUAACCUGCCCUUGACUUUGGGAUAACUUCAGGAAACUGGGGCUAAUACCGGAUAGGAGCUCCUGCUGCAUGGUGGGGGUUGGAAAGUUUCGGCGGUUGGGGAUGGACUCGCGGCUUAUCAGCUUGUUGGUGGGGUAGUGGCUCACCAAGGCUUUGACGGGUAGCCGGCCUGAGAGGGUGACCGGCCACAUUGGGACUGAGAUACGGCCCAGACUCCUACGGGAGGCAGCAGCGGGGAAUAUUGCACAAUGGGCGGAAGCCUGAUGCAGCAACGCCGCGUGCGGGAUGACGGCCUUCGGGUUGUAAACCGCUUUCGCCUGUGACGAAGCGUGAGUGACGGUAAUGGGUAAAGAAGCACCGGCUAACUACGU